rnacentral:rRNA from 1 species
GACGAACGCUGGCGGCGUGCUUAACACAUGCAAGUCGAACGGAAAGGCCCUGCUUUUGUGGGGUGCUCGAGUGGCGAACGGGUGAGUAACACGUGAGUAACCUGCCCUUGACUUUGGGAUAACUUCAGGAAACUGGGGCUAAUACCGGAUAGGAGCUCCUGCUGCAUGGGGGGGGUUGGAAAGUUUCGGCGGUUGGGGAUGGACUCGCGGCUUAUCAGCUUGUUGGUGGGGUAGUGGCUUACCAAGGCUUUGACGGGUAGCCGGCCUGGGAGGGUGACCGGCCACAUUGGGACUGAGGUACGGCCCAGACGCAUACGGGAGGCAGGGGUGGGGAUAUUGCACAAUGGGCGGAAGCCUGAUGCAGCAACGCCGCGUGCGGGAUGACGGCCUUCGGGUUGUAAACCGCUUUCGCCUGUGACGAAGCGUGAGUGACGGUAAUGGGUAAAGAAGCACCGGCUAACUACGUG